rnacentral:rRNA from 1 species
GAUGAACGCUGGCGGCGUGCUUAACACAUGCAAGUCGAACGUGAACCAGUAGCAAUAUUGGGGAAAGUGGCGGACGGGUGAGUAACACGUGGGUGACCUGCCUUGCAGCGGGGGAUAACGAGGGGAAACCUUCGCUAAUACCGCAUAGGCUUACACUGAUGGGAAUGGUGUGGGUAAAACUGAGGUGCUGCAAGAGGGGCCUGCGUCCGAUUAGCUAGUUGGUGAGGUAAAGGCUCACCAAGGCGAUGAUCGGUAGCUGGUCUGAGAGGACGAUCAGCCACACGGGAACUGAGAGACGGUCCCGACUCCUACGGGGGGCAGCAGUGAGGAAUAUUGGGCAAUGGGCUAACGCCUGACCCAGCAACGCCGCGUGGAGGAUGAAGGUUUUUGGAUUGUAAACUCCUUUUGUGGGGGAAGAGCGAGGACGGUACCCCAAGAAUAAGUCACGGCUAACUACGUG